rnacentral:rRNA from 1 species
AUUGAACGCUGGCGGCAGGCCUAACACAUGCAAGUCGAACGAGUGGCGGACGGGUGAGUAAUGUCUGGGAAACUGCCCGAUGGAGGGGGAUAACUACUGGAAACGGUAGCUAAUACCGCAUACCAUCGGAUGUGCCCAGAUGGGAUUAGCUUGUAGGUGAGGUAACGGCUCACCUAGGCGACGAUACCUAGCUGGUCUGAGAGGAUGACCAGCAACACGGGAACUGAGACACGGUCCAGACUCCUACGGGAGGCAGCAGGGGGGAAUAGUGCACAAUGGGCGCAAGUCGGAUGAAGCGAUGCAGCGUGGAUGAAGAAGGCCUUCGGGUUGUAAAGUACUUUCAGCGGGGAGGCGUUAACCGCAGAAGAAGCACCGGCUAACUCCGUGCCAGCAGCCGCGGUAAGUC